GGCGAACGCUGGCGGCGUGCUUAACACAUGCAAGUCGAACGGAAAGGCCCUGCUUUUGUGGGGUGCUCGAGUGGCGAACGGGUGAGUAACACGUGAGUAACCUGCCCUUGACUUUGGGAUAACUUCAGGAAACUGGGGCUAAUACCGGAUAGGAGCUCCUGCUGCAUGGUGGGGGUUGGAAAGUUUCGGCGGUUGGGGAUGGACUCGCGGCUUAUCAGCUUGUUGGUGGGGUAGUGGCUUACCAAGGCUUUGACGGGUAGCCGGCCUGAGAGGGUGACCGGCCACAAUGGAAGUGAGACACGGGGCAGACUACUAAGGGAGGCAGCAGUGGGGAAGAUUGGACAAUGGGCGGAAGGCGGAUCCAGCCAUACCGCGUGGGGGAAGAAGGCCUUCGGGUUGUAAAGACCUUUUGUUGGGAAAGAAAAGCAGCAGGUUAAUACCACGCUGUUCUGACGGUACCCAAAGAAUAAGCACCGGCUAACUUCGUG
rnacentral:rRNA from 1 species